rnacentral:rRNA from 1 species
UACGUAGGGCGCAAGCGUUGUCCGGAAUUAUUGGGCGUAAAGAGCUCGUAGGCGGCCUGUUGCGUCCGCUGUGAAAUCCCGGGGCUUAACCCCGGGCUUGCAGUGGGUACGGGCAGACUAGAGUGCGGUAGGGGUGACUGGAAUUCCUGGUGUAGCGGUGGAAUGCGCAGAUAUCAGGAGGAACACCGAUGGCGAAGGCAGGUCACUGGGCCGCAACUGACGCUGAGGAGCGAAAGCAUGGGGAGCGAACAGG